UCAGAAAAUAAAAGAUAUUUAGACAUAAUUUCUAAAAAAUUCCCGUAUUGUCUUGUCUACAAACGAUUCGGAAGCUAUGAGUUGUUGAUUCAUCCAUCAGAAAUUACAUAUCAUAAUUAUGAGACGAUAUUUUCUUUCACGAUACGAAAAGAAAUAAUGAUGGGAGCUGUGGAUUUGAUAUACAACUUUAACAACAGUUUCCAGAUUAAUAAGCGUAAAUCUGCUCCCUAUUUGAAAUAUAUAAUUCCCCAAAUUUCCACUGAAAAAAGAGUGUUUAUUACAAGAUCAGACGAUGUAAAAUUUGCAAUAGGAAUGAUCGUAACACAUCAUAAUAUGUGUGAAGAUAAUUGUACUGGAGUUAUUAUUGGAUGGGAACAACAUACAAACACAUAUGUUAAAUUCAACGAAGAAACGUGUUAUGAUGAAUAUAUACAGAAUUAGAUAUCUUGCCACUGAAUCACUGUUACAAUCAACAGUUUAGAGAUUCCGAACAAACCAAUUACAUUAUUCUUACCGAUAAUAAUAAAAUCUGUUAUGUCAAUGAAGAUUCUAUAACUUUAACAACGCCGAAAUGGAUCGAUAAUAGCGAAAUAGGUCGUUAUUUUUGCAAAUUCGAACACACGCAUUACAUACCAAAUGAAGAGCUGGCAAGAAUCUAUCCGCAGGACGCUGCUAUAGCAGCCCAGAGAACAAUAUCUGUAAAUUAAUAAUAUAAAUCAAGAGACACGGUAGUGUCUCGCGACCA